rnacentral:lncRNA from 1 species
GCUUGCCCAGCUGAGGCAUUGGAGCAGGGCAUUUUGAUAGCGGCUGGAGGGCAGGCAGCUCAACCUCUAAACCCCCCUGGUCUGGGCACCAAGUCCUGUCCUGGGCACGGGACACAGUCCUCCAGCGAGACCAAACCCAGCUUCUCUGCAGCACCAGGAAGAAGGCAAGCCGGGCCACCAGGGCGCGGCCCCAGGAAGGAAAAUCCUCCAUGGUCCUGUUGACAGAUGUGGUAUCAAAUGAAUUGUUCUCUGCUUAGACACGACUUUGAUAUUUAUUGGUUCAAAUUGCUCGGCUGACUCAGUCUUGCGGACUCUGAUUACACUGCCUAUCCAAGAUCUGAGAUCAUCAACUCAUCUCAAAAUCCUUAAGCUGACCACAGCAGCAUCAUCCCUUUUGCAGUGUAAG